rnacentral:rRNA from 1 species
ACUGUCGAUGGUAAGGUAUUGGCUUACCAUGGUUGCAACGGGUGACGGAGAAUUAGGGUUCGAUUCCGGAGAGGGAGCCUGAGAAACGGCCACCACAUCCAAGGAAGGCAGCAGGCGCGCAAAUUACCCAAUCCCGACACGGGGAGGUAGUGACAAUAAAUAACAAUACAGGGCUUUCGUAAGUCUUGUAAUUGGAAUGAGAACAAUUUAAAUCCCUUAACGAGGAACAAUUGGAGGGCAAGUCUGGUGCCAGCAGCCGCGGUAAUUCCAGCUCCAAUAGCGUAUAUUAAAGUUGUUGCAGUUAAAAAGCUCGUAGUUGGAUUUCGGCGGCGCGGCGUCGGUCCGCCUGGCGGCGUGUCACUGGCGCCGCGCGGCUUUCUCUCGAGGGCCGCGCGUGCUCUUGAGUGAGCGUGCGCGUUACUCGGGACGUUUACUUUGAAAAAAUUAGAGUGUUCAAAGCAGGCUUUGGGGCUUGAAUACAUUAGCAUGGAAUAAUGGAAUAGGACGUCGGUCCUGUUUUGUUGGUUUCCGGGACCGAGGUAAUGAUUAAUAGGGACAGUUGGGGGCAUUCGUAUUCAAUUGUCAGAGGUGAAAUUCUUGGAUUUAUGGAAGACGGACGCAUGCGAAAGCAUUUGCCAAGGAUGUUUUCGUUAAUCAAGAACGAAAGUUGGAGGUUCGAAGACGAUUAGAUACCGUCGUAGUUCCAACCAUAAACUAUGCCGACUAGGGAUCGGACGACGUUAUAGUACGACUCGUUCGGCACCUUGCGAGAAAUCAAAGUUUCUGGGUUCCGGGGGGAGUAUGGUCGCAAGACUGAAACUUAAAGGAAUUGACGGAAGGGCACCACCAGGAGUGGAGCCUGCGGCUUAAUUUGACUCAACACGGGAAAACUCACCAGGUCCGGACACAGUAAGGAUUGACAGAUCGAGAGCUCUUUCUUGAUUCUGUGGGUGGUGGUGCAUGGCCGUUCUUAGUUGGUGGAGUGAUCUGUCUGCCUAAUCGCGAUAACGAACGAGACCUCAACCUGCUAACUAGUCACGCGCCUUCCUCGCGACGGCGCGGUCGACUUCUUAGAGGGACCAUCGGUGUGUAACCGCUGGAAGUGUGAGGCAAUAACAGGUCUGUGAUGCCCUUAGAUGUCCUGGGCUGCACGCGCGCUACACUGACGGACUCAGCGAGUGUUGACCUGCGUCGAGAGGCACGGGUAAUCU